GAUGAACGCUGGCGGCGUGCCUAAUACAUGCAAGUCGAGCGCGAGAAUGAGGAGCUUGCUCCUCAUAAUCGAGCGGCGGACGGGUGAGUAACACGUAGGCAACCUACCCUUGAGAUUGGGAUAACUACCGGAAACGGUAGCUAAUACCGGAUACGACUUUUCCACACAAGUGGAAUUGUUAAAAGGCGGAUUUAUCUGCCGCUCAUGGAUGGGCCUGCGGUGCAUUAGCUGGUUGGUGAGGUAGUGGCUCACCAAGGCGACGAUGCAUAGCCGACCUGAGAGGGUGAUCGGCCACACUGGGACUGAGACACGGCCCAGACUCCUACGGGAGGCAGCAGUAGGGAAUCUUCCGCAAUGGACGCAAGUCUGACGGAGCAACGCCGCGUGAGUGAUGAGGGGUUUCGGCUCGUAAAACUCUGUUGUUAAGGAAGAACACUUGAGGUAGUAACUGGCCUUGAGAUGACGGUACUUAACCAGAAAGCCACGGCUAACUACGUGCCAGCAGCCGCCGUAA
rnacentral:rRNA from 1 species